AACAUGCAAUUUCCCUCGUUAUAUUUUUGCGAUUCAAGUUAUCAACAGAAACAUAUCAAAUUAGUAAAUAUUAUUCCUACACUGUGGCUCACAGGAGGAAGACGUUCCAUUGAAGAAGAAGAAGCAUGCUGAAGGUUUCAUGACGUCACUGAAGACUGGCUCCCUAAUAACAAAUAAAGAGGGUUUAAUGCACUUUUGCAAACUAUCAAUAAACAAAUUUUCAUCGACAUAGUGCAUUGAAUUUCGGAUUACCCAUAUCCGUGUGCGAUUUGUGCUUUGCCGGGAAACUGGUGCCAUAGGAAACUUCACGCCAGCACAGAGUAGCGGUACUGUGGCUGUGUGCGUGACAUCGAACAUCGACGACCACUCGCGCUCACGUACACCAGCGCAGUCGGGCAGCAGAGGGCAAGAAAGAGAAGACGUUUCUGACGUUAGGAGCUAAUCGGAGCGAAAAAAGGUCGCGUUGUACGAGCCGCAAGGGAAACUCUGUGUGUGCAUCAUAAUAAUAAUAUCCGCAGCUACGGGAUCGCGUUUUGCCGCGGGUGAUGAUGGAAAAAUUGUUAACCCAGCCUCCGCACCAAACAGUGGCAAGCGAAUGAUACUAAAAACAUUGAACGAUUGAAACACGCACCGCAUUGUUGGACGGGGCAGCAACAGCCAAUCCGUUUGCAAGGGAUUAGUACGUACAUCGAUGGAUGAGCCAGUUUCACGUGCCAGCCGUAGCCGGUGGUGCUGCCUGCAGACGACGGACCGAUGAAUCUGGCUGGGGGCACGCACGGCAAUGAUAACGCGCGGCAGCAACAGUGUGAAAGUGAAUGAAAACAAUCGCAAGCAAACACAUCAAAUGAGCAAUAUUUUAGAUAAUAAUAAUAAUAAUAAUGUCGUACCGACAAAGUGCAGUGCUGCUGAGGGAUCGUAUUACUAGUAUUUAGACAGUUGUGGUCGCAGCUUAUCGCUGUUUCCGCGCUAGUAUCUCCUCCGUUUGCGUGUGUGUGUGUGCGUGUGUGAAAGUGGACGAGACACGAACGGGAUGUCCGUUCCGGUGUGUGAAAUAUGUGUGUACUGUGCGUUUGUAUUGUAAGGACAGCUUGUGUACGUUUCCGAUACGAUUGAUUGAUCGUUGUGCAUUUAAAGAUCGUUUGAUCGGCCAGAGGCAAAGAGAGCGAAAGAGAGAGAGAGAGAGA